GCGGGCGGGAGUGAUCAGAGAAAAAAACAAUGCCAAGGAGGGAAAAGUUGGGGGAGGUGUUGGAGUUUCAAAUGGGAGAGGGUUGUCAACAAUAAAAAAUGCUACAAAUCAACUAUGUGGGCUGAGCACAUAAAUAAUAAGUAUUUGUUGAAUAAGUGAAUGAAUGAAAGGAAGAAAGCCUUUGGAUUUGAGAAUCAACUUUCCUCAGUCAGAAGAAUGGCCAGGGUUGCCCUCAGACAAGAGGACUUCAACGCUAAAUUUUACAUCGUCCUCCCUAUAAACACAUGUUGCUUCUUGCACAAGUCAUCCUGUCCACCACACAGACAUCCUUCCCUGCUUCCCCCAUGUUUCCCCUCAUCUUCCGUCCCAGUUUCCGGAACUCAAGCAACACAAACCUUCGGUGUCAAAGGAGACAGGAAACUCCAACUAGAGUUUCUACUUCAUUAACAACUCUGCCUGUGGCUCCUCUUACAUAAAGGGAUAUGUGGCAAUUGAGUGGAACAGGAGACUGCAUUCUAGCCCCAGCUGUACUACUGACUAGCUGUGUGGCUGGGGACAAGCUGCUCAACCUCUCUGGAGCUGGGCUUUUCAUAGACAAGAGGAGAAGGCCCUCGCAACACCCUCAGAGAAGGAAGUGAAGUGAGUACAAGACCCGGGGAAACGACCGCCAGACCUCUUACCCAGGCGAAGCGCCAGGAUAGGAGGAGUGUACCCAGAAAGUGAGAAGGAGCUGCCGGCCCUCGCGGAUCACCAGGGAGCAGAUCCCAUUCCCAAGGCUGGGAAGGAUCCCAACAACCCGAGUGCGAUUCCCACCCCGCACCCCACCUUUCCUAGACUCUCAGACGACCGGGAGGCUCUAAAAAGCCCUGCGGGAAAAAUAAAGAUUUCUUUCCCAGA